GUGUUUGCUUAGGCAGCACAUAUACUAAAAUUGGAAUGAUUCAGAGAUUAGCAUGGUCUCUGUGCAAGAUGACAUGCAAAUUCGUGAAGUGUUCUAUAUUAAA